AGAGUUUGAUCAUGGCUCAGGAUGAACGCUAGCUACAGGCUUAACACAUGCAAGUCGAGGGGAAACGACAUCGAAAGCUUGCUUUUGAUGGGCGUCGACCGGCGCACGGGUGAGUAACGCGUAUCCAACCUGCCCACCACUUGGGGAUAACCUUGCGAAAGUAAGACUAAUACCCAAUGACGUCUCUAGAAGACAUCUGAGGGAGAUUAAAGAUUUAUCGGUGAUGGAUGGGGAUGCGUCUGAUUAGCUUGUUGGCGGGGUAACGGCCACCAAGGCGACGAUCAGUGGGGGUUCUGAGAGGAAGGUCCCCCACAUUGGAACUGAGACACGGUCAAACUCCUACGGGAGCA
rnacentral:rRNA from 1 species